CUUUUGUUCAUCAGAAAUCAGCCUUCGUGGAAGAUCUGUGUGGUCCCCGACGGAACUUCUGGAGAGAUUCUGCCUUCUGCUGUGAUCUGAGUCCUGGGGAUGAACAGACCAACUGUUUCAACAUCAAUUAUUUGAGGAAUGUGGCUCUAGUGGCUGGAGACACUGGGGAUGCCAGGGGUCAGGGGGAGCAGGUCCCAACAGGGGGAACAAAUAUCAGCCCUACCCCUGAGUCCAAGGAAGAAUGAGUCACUCCAGAGCUUUAAAGGAUCGGAUGCGGGGAACCCCACCCUCCUUGAACAUUCAUUAUAGUAACCACCUCUUGGAUUUGGUGUCCUCAUUGUCUGUAACACACAAACACACCCUCUAAGCCUGCUUGGAUUUCCUUCAUUGGCCCCUGAGGCCUACUGCCCUGCCCUCACUAAGGAGCAGAGGAUGUUCCACAGGCUGUGGUGAGACCAUAACUAAAUGACUUAACUUUACUACUUGUCAUUUUGAACUGAUUCACACAUUUUAAAGGGAGUGCAACCUUUUUUAGUUAGCUGUCCAAUUUCAAGGUGAAAAAGAUGCUUCAUGCCUAUAUUUGGGUGUUUUUCUCUUGCUGUUAAAAGUUUUAGCAUCAUCUCCAAUAAUUUUAUAUGGGAGACAACAGAAUUUAUGUUUAGUAAUGUACUCCUUGAGCCUCAAAGAAAAACAAAGGAAAUUGUCUAAUAAAAAAAUAAACA
rnacentral:lncRNA from 1 species